GCUAAUGUGUCCUGAAAUCAGUUGGCUGAACCAGUGAGGUUCAUCACCCUUUUCUUGGGUUAUAUUUGCUCAUAAUGUGAAGUUAGUUUGAGAUUUUGAAAGCAGUUUGGAAGAAUCACUCAUGGUCACAGUCUAUUUGCAAACCUAUCAACGCUGGAGAUUUGAUGCUGUCACUGAGGCAAGCAAGGCUUUCUGCUGGGAACAGCUUGGGUGUGCCUGCGAGCUGUGGAGUGAGGCCCCUAGUCAGUGUGGAAUCAAGAGUCCACGAAGCAAACCUUAGAGAGAGAGACAGAGGAGGAAGAGGUGAACACCAAUCAGUGGAGCUCAAGAGAAAAAGAAAAUAAAAACACAGCACCACUGGAAGAACACAUGGGUCGCAAAAUGAGGAGAGAAAUGAGGAACGAGCCGGCCUGAGGACUUCGGCCAGCUGGUCCCUGUAUGAAGUCCGCCAGGGCAGACCAUCACUCACACAAUCUUGUUUUCUUUGUCCCUCCCAAAUCCCAACACCAACUCCUCAUCUGGUCCCCAAAACCUCACUGGACAUCAGGUCCUGCUUGCCUAAGUGCAGUAAAAAUCAAACUUACUACAUAUUGAGCACCUUCUACACCCAGAUGCUGUACCAGGAAUCAUAUUACAUCAUCCUCUUUGGUUCCCACACCUACAAUAUAAAGUGAAGAUUGAUGUCCCCAUGUGAGAAAUAAGGAAACAUGUUCAGAGAGGUUAAGCAACUUGCCCAGAGCUACACAGUAGGCUGGCUACUCUCUGACUGUUUGAUCCAUGCUCUGUUCUGCUCUGUGCCUGAGGAUGCUGACUCCCGCACAGAACACCAGCUGUAUUUGCUCUCCCUCUCCCUGGCUCAGCCCCUGGAAGUUCUAGCAAAGGUAGGAAGAAGGAAACUGGGAUAUUAACACCCCUGCUUCCUUCACGUAGGGCCUUAGUUUGGCAGAGGUUGUCAGGCCACUGUUUCUGUCCCUUGGUCUCUCUCCUCUGGCCACAACUCUUACCAAGUCCUAGUCAUUCACCAAGUUUCUUCAGGCCUGAAGGUGGGAACAGUGUCCCACGACCGCUAGUCUCUGGGUGAAGCAUCACCACAUUUUGAUGGUCCCAUGACCUCCCUAUACCUCUGUAAA
rnacentral:lncRNA from 10 species